rnacentral:rRNA from 1 species
CAGUCGCCGCGGGAAUACGGAGGGUGCGAGCGUUAAUCGGAAUAACUGGGCGUAAAGGGCACGCAGGCGGACUUUUAAGUGAGGUGUGAAAUCCCCGGGCUUAACCUGGGAAUUGCAUUUCAGACUGGGGGUCUAGAGUACUUUAGGGAGGGGUAGAAUUCCACGUGUAGCGGUGAAAUGCGUAGAGAUGUGGAGGAAUACCGAAGGCGAAGGCAGCCCCUUGGGAAUGUACUGACGCUCAUGUGCGAAAGCGUGGGGAGCAAACAGGAUUAGAUACCCGUGUAGUCCCUGUCUCUUAUAC